UAUUGGGAUUACAGGUGUGAGCCACCACCCCCGGCCACAAUAAAUUUUACAUAUGUGAGAUCCAUGGUGGCCAACCUAUCACUUUUCUUUUGCAUGUUACUUUAUUAAUCUGAUUGGUUGUUUCAAGCUAUUUCACUAUCUUUGAUUUUGUUACCCAGGUACUAGAAGGAGGGUAAAUCCACAUUUGACAGGACCCAGUAUAGAUGAAGUCAAUCUCAGUUAAUCCUCAAUUCUUCCUAAAAACUCAUUCUGGGUCUUCAGACAACCUCAACCAAUUGUCAACCAGAAAAUGUUUAAAUUUACCUAUAGCCUGGGAGCCCUAGCUUUUGUCCCACCUUUCUAAACCAAACCAAUGUAUUUCUUAAAUGUAUCUGAUUGAUGUCUCACACCUUCCUAAAACACAUAAAACCAAGCUGUGCCCUGGCCACCUUGGGCACUUGUUCUCAGGACCUCCUGAGGGCUGUGUCGUGGGCCAUGGUCCCUCAUAUUUGUCUCAGAAUAAAUCUCUUAAAAUAUUUUA